UUCUUCAUAUUCAACAUGACGCCACCUCAUCUCAUCACAUCCAUCAUCACUGUGUUCUGGAUUAAGGAGUUUGAUGUCGAACCACCAAAAGUGAAGGUGCUCAGACCAUCAGCGAAAGAGUGUCGAAACCCUCUGGACAAUGAAAGACAGAAGACCUUAGUGUGCGUGGCCAGUGGGUUCUACCCGGACCAUGUCAGUGUGUUCUGGCAGGUUGACCAUAAAAACGUCACCAGUGGUGUAGUAACGGACGAAGCUGCCCUGCGGGUCGGCAACUCCUACAAAAUCACCAGCCAGCUGAGGGUCUCUGCCGAAGACUGGUACAAACCCGAGCUGAAAUUUGAGUGCUUCGUCAGAUUCUUCAAUGGGAGGGAAUAUAUCAAUUAUCCAUCAUCAAUCUUUGGGGAUACAGCUCCAGCUGACGUCCUAACCAAAGAAGAAUAUCUGAGGAUCACAACGAAAGCCAAACUCUCCUACGGUGUGUUCAUCGUCAAGAGCUGCGUCUACGGAGCCUUCGUGGCCUUUUUGGUUUGGAGACUCCAGAGUUCAGCUCAGAAGCAGAGGAACUGAGACCUGAGCGUGAAGGGAAAUGAACGGUUGCUUCAUGUAAAUAAAUGUGAGAACAAAAUAAUCCUAUAAAGCUGUGAGUUGCAGUGCAUUUGUAUUAGUAAAUAAAUAUAAACUGUUAAAAUUCUGCAUUUAGUCGAUAAAUCUGCUUAUUCUUGUCAAAGAUGUUAAAUCUAUAACCGGCCUGAAAACAAAAUAAUCUGCAGCAGACUUGUUUUUCGUGCUUUAUAAUUCUCUGUUUGCUGUUUGUGUUGUGCUGCUUGUGUGAUUCAUUUUCCUCUCAAUAAAAGCAACUCAAGGUAACUUGA